UACGUAGGGUGCAAGCGUUAAUCGGAAUUACUGGGCGUAAAGCGUGCGCAGGCGGUUCUGUAAGUCAGGUGUGAAAUCCCCGGGCUUAACCUGGGAAUUGCGCUUGAAACUAGCGGGCUUGAGUGUGGCAGAGGGGGGUGGAAUUCCACGUGUAGCAGUGAAAUGCGUAGAGAUGUGGAGGAACACCGAUGGCGAAGGCAGCCCCCUGGGUCAACACUGACGCUCAUGCACGAAAGCGUGGGGAGCAAACAGG
rnacentral:rRNA from 1 species